rnacentral:rRNA from 1 species
UACGUAGGGUGCGAGCGUUGUCCGGAAUUAUUGGGCGUAAAGAGCUCGUAGGCGGUUUGUCGCGUCGGCCGUGAAAUCUCCACGCUUAACGUGGAGCGUGCGGUCGAUACGGGCAGACUUGAGUUCGGUAGGGGAGACUGGAAUUCCUGGUGUAGCGGUGAAAUGCGCAGAUAUCAGGAGGAACACCGGUGGCGAAGGCGGGUCUCUGGGCCGAUACUGACGCUGAGGAGCGAAAGCGUGGGGAGCGAAUAGG